UGCUCAGUAGCUUUUUUGGUAAAGCACUCGUUUAGCAUACAAAAGUCGUAGGUUCGAAUCCCACCUGAGCAC
rfam:Aedes aegypti strain Liverpool supercont1.46 genomic scaffold, whole genome shotgun sequence.